AUGCGCAUGGCGAGGGGCGGCCAUGAGCGCCGCGGGCGCGCGCGUGCGGGUGCGGCUCGGAGCACGAGCUCCGGCACGCGGCCACGAAGUAGAGGGGAAGCAGCGGGCGCUGACGAUGGUGACGGGGAGCUGCACGAGGUGGUCGUGGACGCGGCGAAGUGCGGGCGAGAGGGUCACCGGAGUGCACGCGAGGUGUUCGAGGAAAUGCCAGAGAGAGGAGGAGGAGGAGGAGGAGGAAGAUUGAUGCUGACAGGUGGGCCCAUCCUGUCAGAAAUGCGUUUAGAAGAGGCGAAUCGAGCAUUUUCCCGACAUGGUAGUUUUUAG
rnacentral:rRNA from 1 species